rnacentral:rRNA from 1 species
UACGGAGGAUCCGAGCGUUAUCCGGAUUUAUUGGGUUUAAAGGGUGCGCAGGCGGAAGAUUAAGUCGGUGGUGAAAUUUUGCAGCUCAACUGUAAAAGUGCCAUUGAUACUGGUUUUCUUGAGUGUGGAUGAAGUAGGCGGAAUUUGUGGUGUAGCGGUGAAAUGCGCAGAUAUCAGGAGGAACUCCGAUUGCGUAGGCAGCUUACUAAACCAUAACUGACGCUCAGGCACGAAGGCGUGGGGAUCAAACAGGAUUAGAUACCCU